GAACCCUGGCAUUACACUGUCUUUUUACAAAUUUAAAAAUAAAAUAGCCAACAUUUUAUAGACAUUUUUAUGACCAUUUCACUCACAUAACACAAGCUGACAAAAUGAAAUAACAAUAUAAGAAAAGGAAAAUUAAUCGAUUUAUCGAAACUUCUUAUUUGCUCUGUAACAUUUAUUUUCGUCACACGCUGAGCUGAAGAGAUUAGAUAAAAGUGAGAAAACAAAUUGAAUGAGAGUAAAUUUUAUUUAGUAUUGCCACACACACACACACACGCAUACAUACACACACCUACAGCUGUAUGAAUGUACCUGCAGCCGUGAGAUGUGUCAAUCAUUGCGGCUUUGACAAUAAGAUGCGGCUGAAGCUAUUAUGUGGGUGCUGCCAAUCUCUCUCAGCGUUGAGCCGAGUGUGUGGUGGCUGGAGCUCUGCGGCUAGAGGUGACGUUACGGUCUUUUGAGUUCCACACGCGCCCUUAUCAGAGAACAACAUGCCAAUUAGGCUCAGCUGACAGCCCUUUGACUGUCGCGCCCCAGUGAGAGGUGAGAGUUGAAUCUGAUGAUAUAAACGCAUCCACUAGCUGCUUAAAACGAACUUAAUUGCAAAUCAAGGCAACAGCUGAGGGUCUACAGUUUCUUUGAUGCGAACUUCAUGGCAAUUUGAUGUGCGUCUAAUUAGUACCGGGAAUUUGUUGACUUGAGUGGGCAAACGCAUGAGUUAUGACUACUCAAGCGUUGAGGCACUUGUGGUUACUUCAAAAGCAAAUUUAAUGUCCUUCCAGACGCCAGCCAAAGCAGAAAAUCAUUUUAAAUUAAAUAUUUGCCCGAUUGUGACUUUUGGUCGGCUGUCAA